CAGGUUUGAGUGCAGUCGUUGAUUUUGACUGCACUGCAUUCAAUUGCAUCUGAGCCAUGCAAUACCAAAUCAAACGAUCAGAUUUAAGUUUCAAUUUUAUAUUUAAAAAGUUAGGCAAAAUCUGACCUUAAAAUAUUAACCAUCCGAUCUUGAUCGGACAGUCAGUAUACACUGACUGCGUGCAGUUUGACUGCACCAAAUCCAUUUCC
rnacentral:lncRNA from 1 species